CCUUGCAGCUUUGCCACCCUCAACACGCUUUAAUCUCAUCUGCUUAACAGGGUUGGGCCAGGUUAGUUUGUGGAUGGGAGAUCAUUUGGGACUUCCAGGUGUUUUAACGA
rnacentral:rRNA from 1 species